rnacentral:rRNA from 1 species
AGAGUUUGAUCAUGGCUCAGGAUGAACGCUGGCGGCGUGCUUAACACAUGCAAGUCGAGCGAAGCACUCUGCAUGAAGUUUUCGGAUGGAUUGCAGUUUGACUGAGCGGCGGACGGGUGAGUAACGCGUGGGCAACCUGCCUUACACAGGGGGAUAACAGUUAGAAAUGACUGCUAAUACCGCAUAACCCGCUAGGGCCGCAUGGCCCGGACGGAAAAGAUUUAUCGGUGUAAGAUGGACCCGCG